rnacentral:rRNA from 1 species
UGGCUCGAGAGCACGCUGGCGGCAGGCCUAAUACAUGCAAGUCGAGCGGCUCCUUCGGGGGGCAGCGGCGGACGGGUGAGUAACGCGUGGGAACGUGCCCUUUGGUACGGAACAACUGAGGGAAACUUCAGCUAAUACCGUAUGUGCCCUUCGGGGGGAAAGAUUUAUCGCCAUUGGAGCGGCCCGCGUUAGAUUAGCUUGUUGGUGGGGUAAUGGCCCACCAAGGCGACGAUCUAUAGCUGGUCUGAGAGGAUGAUCAGCCACACUGGGACUGAGACACGGCCCAGACUCCUACGGGAGGCAGCAGUAGGGAAUCUUGCGCAAUGGGCGAAAGCCUGACGCAGCCAUGCCGCGUGAAUGAUGAAGGUCUUAGGAUUGUAAAAUUCUUUCACCGGGGACGAUAAUGACGGUACCCGGAGAAAAAGCCCCGGCUAACUUCGUG